rnacentral:rRNA from 1 species
UUACCCUUAGUUGCCAGCGGGUAAUGCCGGGCACUCUAAGGGGACCGCCCCGGAUAACGGGGAGGAAGGCGGGAUGACGUCAAGUCAGCAUGGCCUUUAUGUCCAGGGCUACACACGUGCUACAAUGGGCGAUACAGAGGGAAGCAAGGCCGCAAGGUAGAGCUAAUCCCUAAAGUCGUCCUCAGUUCGGAUUGCAGGCUGCAACUCGCCUGCAUGAAGUCGGAAUCGCUAGUAAUCGCGGAUCAGCUACGCCGCGGUGAAUACGUUCUCGGGCCUU